rnacentral:lncRNA from 1 species
UUUUGAUUGUUGUUCGUGGUAUGGGUGGAGUGCAGCAAUGACCAUGAGAAUGGUCAUGUGAUUGGCCUUGACUUGAGCGAAUGCUCUCUUUGUGGGCACAUCAAUUCUACCAGCACCCUCAUCAGCCUUGUUCAUCUUCAAAAUACCCCUGGAAUUUUAUGAUACAUUCAUCAGCGACUUUAUUGAUUUGAUUUUUGUGUUUUCACAGAUGAACAUGACGGAGUUCUUAUUAAAGUGAAGUUCAGGUAUUAACCCUUGAUUUGAAAAUAAAUGAAUAACAAAUAAAGAUAAAUACUUAUACUCUUCAAUAUCCCUCUUAUAGUUUUCAGAAGACAAAACUGUAAAAUUGGUCCCUGUAGUUUUCUAAAAACUUUGGAUAGAGUCCAAAAAGUUUUCAAGUUGCAUUGAAGGUCCAAAAUCAAAAAUUUUCUUUGGUUUAGUCCCUAAAAGAGUUGAAAUGACUUUUAUGCCCUUUUAAUUUCUUUUUAAAAUUUUCUUUAUUUAUUUUAAUUGUUUUAUAAUAAUAANAUAAUAAUAAUAAUAAUAAUAAUAAUAAUAAAGAAAUGGGCCCUACAAGCUACAACACCCCGACUCAUUUCUUUCUCCCUCUCUCACUCAUCAAAAAGUCAUCGGCGUCAAAAUUGCUCUCCAUUCUCACUCACCUUUCCCGUCGAGAAGCCGCCCAUAUUUCUCGCCACCCUUCAUCGCCGGUAAGUAUCUUACUUCUCAUCGCCUCUAUUCCCCCUCUCCUUCUUGAACCAAUGGAUUCACCUCUUGAUGAUUGAAACCUGCCAUCACGAAACCUCGAUGGUAAAACCCAAUUGUCAGACAUCUACAAGUUUUUUUGUCAUUUCAUCUUCAAGAAUCUACCUCCCAACCCCAUUGUCGGCAUCCUCUUGUUAAUUGUGCAACCUCCUGAUGAGUGAACCCCACUGCAGGUUUCCUAAACACAACUCCAAUGAAACCCCCUUCCCCUUCAGGAGGUCAAAUUAAACUUUGAACUAUGUAUCGCCUUUCUGGAGAAGUUUUUCAGGUUCAGUGAAAAUAUAAUUUGCAUAGAGAACUGAGAUG